rnacentral:rRNA from 1 species
CUCGCAAGAGAGCCGGAACACAGGUGCUGCAUGGCUGUCGUCAGCUCGUGUCGUGAGAUGUUGGGUUAAGUCCCGCAACGAGCGCAACCCUUGUCAUUAGUUGCCAUCAUUGGUUGGGCACUCUAAUGAGACUGCCGGUGACAAACCGGAGGAAGGUGGGGAUGACGUCAAGUCCUCAUGGCCCUUAUAGGUGGGGCUACACACGUCAUACAAUGGCUGGUACAAAGGGUUGCCAACCCGCGAGGGGGAGCCAAUCCCAUAAAGCCAGUCGUAGUCCGGAUCGUAGUCUGCAACUCGACUACGUGAAGUCGGAAUCGCUGGUAAUCGUGGAUCAGAAUGUCACGGUGAAUACGUUCCCGGGUCUU